UUCAUAAAAAUCUAUGUCUCUCUAUCUAUAUCUAUACCACUUGGCCUUUUCUCUCUUCCUCAUUUUUAUAAACCAAAUUGAUUUGUUAAAGUUCAAGAAUGUCUUUUAUAUACACUCUAAGUUUCAGCUUCAUUUCUGUGAGUAUGGUCAAUAAUGAAGAUAUAUAGAGGCAGUAAUGCCCAGUUUGAUAAGGGAUGAUACUUCCCUAAUCUUGAAGGUACAUCAACUAUGAAUUGGAAGGCCUAAAAAACCUUCCAUGGGGAAUUAAGCACUCAUGGUCCGAUUGGUUUUUGCUUGCUUUAAUAUUUUGAUCUCUUCUCCCACUUUCAAAUUUUCUUUUCCUGGUUUUUAUAAGAGUCUUCAACCAUGCAAAUCAGCAUGCAGCUAAUGCAGCCUAUCCAGAUCCUCUCUAUUUCUUUAAGAAAACUGAUGUAUUGAUAAUGUCUGAAUUGCAAUUCUCCUCCAUGUUUGUUUGCUAGUUGAUUAUCGGAGGACAAUAAAAGAUUUCGAAGUCAUAAAAUAAAAUUAUUAAAUAAUUCUCAAGUUUUACAUUUCUUAUUAUUGUCCUCUAAAACUUAACUCGCAAACAAAUCAUGAAGGUGGUGAAGAGAAUAGUAAUAUGAUGAUGUUCUCAUUUUCAUUCAAAUUUGUUGUAGUACGGACUAACAUACCUAUAUCAUUAGACUAGGUACUGAAUAAUGGUCGUGUUGAGUUGAAUGUUUCAAGUAAUAUACCUUUAGUAAGGUUUUAGAAUCUAAAUGUAUCACUUGGUAGUGAUUUUUAAUUAAGUAAUAUAUAUUUUAGAUUUAUU
rnacentral:lncRNA from 1 species